AAUACCGUUCCUGUUUCCUCGAUAGCGUCCGGGAGAAUCCGAGGUGCGCAGCGGUCGAAUCGUCAUGCAGGGCGUGCAGAACUUCUGGAGGCAGCGGUGAGAGAACAACAACAAGGUAGUUUGCACGGUCUGGCUGGACAACCUCUGGUGAAUGCAGGGUGACUGCUGCCGCAGUUCGCACAAUGCAUGUCAUCGUUAUUACAGUCGUCAACAAAGCGACCGAUUGUGCCGCACUUUGCGCACAUAAGCUGUCCUCGGCAGCUCUGGGAUGCGUAACCAAAUCUCGUAACAUUUCAAGCAACGUCACGGGUUCGGAUUUUAAGGUCGAACAUGAAGUUCUACAUAGCCGGUUUCAAGUGUCUCGGGCAAAGUAGUUGUACUGAAAAUCGCAAGGCGCACCGACUGUUCACGGCGCAAUGCUGAAGAAACAACUUGUCGAGUGCGAGAAAGGACGGAACAUCACGGUAUUCCUGCCCCGAGAUGGACGCGACAAGCGGCUUCCGCAGGUCCCCGAUACUGGCCCCCGCUGAAGCUCCUGAGGAUCAAAUAAAGUUCAUUAUCUGUCUGUCUGUCCAGUGCUGCUUCUGCGAGUGCGCUGAGUUCCUCCACUCUGCGUGACUGCGAGCGUCACGAAUAUUGCAUAGUGUGUGCGAAAGGAAGACAGCCUAUAUAGCUACGAUGCGACAAGGAGUUGGUGCCAACGAUGGAUCUCGCUACCAACACAGUGAAGGAGACAUCGACAAA